UACGAAGGGGGCUAGCGUUGUUCGGAUUUACUGGGCGUAAAGCGCACGUAGGCGGAUUGUUAAGUCGGGGGUGAAAUCCUGGAGCUCAACUUCAGAAUUGCCUUCGAUACUGGCUUUCUAGAGGCUGGAAGAGGUUAGUGGAAUUCCCAGUGUAGAGGUGAAAUUCGUAGAUAUUCGCAAGAACACCAGUGGCGAAGGCGGCUCACUGGCCCGGUACUGACGCUGAGGUGCGAAAGCGUGGGGAGCAACAGG
rnacentral:rRNA from 1 species